AGAAAUUUUUUCCACAAGGGAUUUUAUUUCUUAGUGAAGUACUGCCAUGAGGAUGAUUUUUAGGGCCCUAUAAUUUAGAUUUUCCUGAUUCAAGACUGUAAUUUAUUCUUAAGCUAUCUGGAGAUCCACUUAAUGAGAAAUAAACCUUUUAAGAGGGCUGAAAGAACCAAGAUUUUAAAUGGCCAAAUUAAGGCUUUUAUAUCACCUCUGGA
rnacentral:lncRNA from 1 species